AAGCAAAAUCUUAGCAGGUAUUAAUAAGAAUAGUCUUGACAAACUAGUAAUUGCCAUGCUUUCAGGUAGAAGAGAGCAAAUUCCAAUCAAAAGUCACAUUUGUCUCAUAUUUCACUUUUUAGAACAUAACUGAGCAGUCAUUUGGAAUUAGAAUUUCAAUGCCUUAGAAAAGCAAGGUGCUCAUAUCCAUCGUUAAAAAUAAUAACAUUUUUAUCCUAUUUUGCUCCAUUUUCCACUUUCCACAACUGCAUCCAGAUUUGGAGAUGGAUAGUAAUGGUUCAGCAUCUAUUUCAGAGCCUUUGAACCAAUCCCAACUGAGCUCAGAAUUGGAGCUUGGGAUAUAUGUCUUACAAACUGGAGCCAUCCGUUUGUGUCAACAUUAUUUUUUUUUUUAACCAGUUUUAACCUAAGUCCUAUUUCUAGAGCUUUCAUACACAUUUCAUGUACAUUGCUAUUAUUUCUAAUUAAGUACAAGGGAAUGGUGUAGAAAAAACAAAGAACAAAGGGUAAAUGUUGAAAUCAUAUUUUUUUAAAAAGCUGAACAGCCAUAUUAUUAUAUACAAAGCUGCCAAGGUAUAAGUAGAAACAGCUAUGGUAUAGUUGUCAUAGCUACAUUGCAAGAGCUUCAGAUGAGGUACAUUUAUUGGGAUAAAAAUAACCAGAAUAUGCUGAUGUGGUUAGUGUAUGUUGGGC
rnacentral:lncRNA from 1 species